rnacentral:rRNA from 1 species
GUACUCGAGCGGCGAACGGGUGAGUAACACGUGAGCAACCUGCCCCUGACUCUGGGAUAAGCCCGGGAAACUGGGUCUAAUACCGGAUAUAACCACUGGUCUCAUGAUCGGGUGGUGGAAAGUUUUUCGGUUGGGGAUGGGCUCGCGGCCUAUCAGCUUGUUGGUGGGGUGAUGGCCUACCAAGGCGACGACGGGUAACCGGCCUGAGAGGGCGACCGGUCACACUGGGACUGAGACACGGCCCAGACUCCUACGGGAGGCAGCAGUGGGGAAUAUUGCGCAAUGGGCGGAAGCCUGACGCAGCGACGCCGCGUGAGGGAUGACGGCCUUCGGGUUGUAAACCUCUUUCAGCAGGGACGAAGCUAACGUGACGGUACCUGCAGAAGAAGCGCCGGCUAACUACGUGCCAGCAGCCGCGGUAAUACGUAGGGCGCAAGCGUUGUCCGGAAUUAUUGGGCGUAAAGAGCUCGUAGGCGGUUUGUCGCGUCUGUCGUGAAAGCCCACGGCUUAACCGUGGGUCUGCGGUGGAUACGGGCAGACUAGAGGCAGGUAGGGGAGAAUGGAAUUCCCGGUGUAGCGGUGAAAUGCGCAGAUAUCGGGA